ACAUGCGAUACUUGGUGUGAAUUGCAGAAUCCCGCGAACCAUUGAGUCUUUGAACGCAAGUUGCGCCCAAGGCCUUUUGGCCGAGGGCACGCCUGCCUGGGCGUCAUGCGAUUGUCGCUCCGUGCGCCCCUAGCCCCACGCACGGGUGGUGGAGCUGGAUGCGUACAUUGGACCCCCGUGCACAUGGGUACGGUCGGCCGAAGAGCGUGCUGUUUCCGAAGGUCGGACAUAACGGGUGGUGGUGCCAUGAGCAAUCCGAUUGUUGUGUCUUGGCCUAGGAGACGUUCCCUGAUGCGACCCCCAUCCCACCAUAAUUGCAGGUCUUGGAUUGCGAUCCCAGGUCAGGCAGGGCCACCCGCCGAGUUUAAGCAUAUAAAUAAGCGGAGGAGAAGAAACUUAAGAGGAUUCCCAUAGUAACGGCGAGCGAACCGGGA
rnacentral:rRNA from 1 species